GAUAAAGUAUCCGUGAAAACUUCAUCCGCGUCCGAUCGGGGGAAGCCGGUGAGAAUCCGGCGCUGACCCGCAACCGUGAGUACGGGCUGUGUGUGCCGCAGGGCGUACGAGCCGGAGCACCUGGUCGGCCGCACCGCAGGCU
rnacentral:ncRNA from 2 species